AGCCCAAGAACUUUUCCUUUAAUUUCGUAGUCUACUUGUUUAGAUGGAGGGUGCUGCUGCUGCCAGUUCUCACAUUUUCCCCCUCCCCCCCGCCCGGAUCAGUUGAGCUCUCUACCCUAUGUCUCAAGAUCCAGCAGCACUGAGUUUGAAAAAAGGGAUCGAAGGCUUGUCUCCUUUUACACUAGGCAACUGAACCGCAGCUGUCUGCAAUUGCUCCCUUUGAACCUGUGCUAAAAACAAUGUAACUGCUAAUGUAAAUGGUACAAAACCACUGUUCCAGAAAGCAUGGUUGGGACUUAUACCAAACUUGUGCUUGGAUACCAAGUUCCUGUGACACUUCCUCUCUAUACUGUCACUUAAUCUAUUUUCAGUUCAGAACAGCAGUUCAGAAAAACCUAUUGCUAGGAGCUGUUCGAUUCAUUAACAUAGAGAGGACUUCAUAUGAAUGAGGCUUGCUUUUGCAGAUUGAACAUGGUUCAAUCAUGUAGUUAUAACUACAAGACCUGUUAAUUCUCAUGUUUCAAGGCAGGGUGGAUAAAAAUCAAUGCUUUUUUAAAAAAAAAAAUUAAAAUUUGUUUAAAUUAUUUUUCCUUUUAAUAUAAAAAAUUUAAUAUAAAUGUGUUUAGGCUUAAAUUUAUUAUAGUCUCUUAAAACAUUUAAAUAUGCUGAAUCCAUGAGCCUCUAUCAAAAACUUUGAGUUAAAGACUGCUUCUGUAUAUAAAGAGAAUCUGGGGGGGGGAGGAAUUUAACUUUUGAGGUUAAUAAAUAUGGCACAGUAGGUCAUGUACUGUAUUAAGGGCUUGAUCCUGUGGGGGAUCCAGGGGCUGUGCUACUGAGUGAAGAGACUUGACAAAGUUAUCACAGGCAUUGGGCCCAGCCUCUGACUCCACGAGACACCAUCAUGUAUCUCAUCAGGCACAUCCACUGAACCCAUCUGGGUGGUUUCAAGCUCCCACUUUAUAGCUUCUCCCCACCUGAGCUUUGGCUCAGUUCUCAAAUUAUGAAUAUUUAUACUCCAACCACCAGCUCAUGGAAAACACUGAUCUGCCUAAUAACUACCAGCCCUUGCUUCUGGAUGGUUCUGGGCACUUCAGGUAAAUGGCCUUGCUCUGUCGACUUGCAUGUGCACAUGGACAGAUACAAAAAGAAAUCCAUUAACUUCUCAACUGCCUCCCUCUCUGUGUCUAAACAAAUAAAAUAUUGCAGUGCAACAGGCACAUGGGUUAUGUUACCAGAAGUCUUGGAUUGUUGGUUCUUUUGUUUUUCUGGGGUAGGAGUAGGGUAAGUGAGAUAUGUAAUGAGAGAGAAGGAGCAGAGUAUGCAACCAGAAAGGCGCAACACUUGUCAAAGUAGGACACUGGGAAGAAGGGGCAACAUUCUUCAGUGUAGCUUCUAGUGUUGAUUUCAACACCUAUGAACUGGAGGGGGAAAAAACUGCCAUGGCUGCAAGUUGUAAAAAAGAACCUGUUUGGGAAUAUAUUUCAAGAAAUUCCUGUACCUCUGGGCGAAAAAGUAACUCAUGGCAACUGUGAAUGGUGCAAGAGAGAUGCAAGGCCUAGUUGCCAGAAUGAAACAACAUUAUGAAAAUUGCUUCUCAGAAGACAGUGACUUUGAAGAUGAUGUACUUGAACAAUCUGGAUCAGCUGGGUCCCUGCUUAGACAUAAGGAGUUAUGAAUGUCCAUCAUCUGCAAUGUCCAUAAUUUCAGUGUCAUCUGCUGUUACCACCAACAGUGCUGCAACUAAACAUAAUUCAGACAGUAAAUUAACUGCACCAAACAUGCUUUCUUCAUCAUAAUCCAGUUAAGAAAGGCAUGAAUUUGCCAUCGGGACCAGCAAAUUCCAAGAAGACUCCAUAAAUGAAAAGAUUGCACAGUUCUCCCUUUCAUGAUGUUCAGAACAAAUAUUUCAUUGACAUGGUUCAAUCAUUACAAAUAUGGUACACUCCAUCUAGCAGAGCAGACAUUGCUGAAAGGUUGUUGUGAGAAGGACAUGAAACAGUGUGCAAAAAACAUUGAUGGGGAAAUUAGUUAAGCUGAGUCCUGAUGCAUGGAACAGCAUACACAGUGCUCCAGUAAUAUGUGCUUGUAUGACAACAGAGAUAGGGUUGUCUCUUACAGAAACAAUUGAUACAGCAGGAAAUGCCCAUGCAGCAAAUACUUAAAAGAAGUAUCAGUAAAAGCUACAACAAACUGUGAACAAAAUUCAAGUGUCAAGUAUGUAGCGUUGUCACAGGCAAUGAGGCAAAUGUAGCAAAGAUGAGAAGAAAUCUAGAAGAUAGUGAUGGGAACCUGAAACUUAUGACGUAUGGGUGUGCGGUGCUCAUUUGAUGCAUCUUUUAGCUAAAGAGUUGCA